ensembl:lncRNA
GCUGAGACCAAGGUGUCUUUAUUUAGAGACAGGGAGUCAAUGUUGAGACCAAGGUGUCUUUAUUUAGAGACAGGGAGUCAAUGCUGAGACCAAGGUGUCUUUAUUUAGAGACAGGGAGUCAAUGCUGAGACCAAGGUGUCUUUAUUGAGACAGGGAGAGGUAGAGGUCAUGUGAUGUAAUUACACAGGCCGAUGCUGCAGGGAUGUAGAGGUCAUGUGAUGUAAUUACACAGGCCGAUGCUGCAGGGAUGUAGAGGUCAUGUGAUGUAAUUACACAGGCCGAUGCUGCAGGGAUGUAGAGGUCAUUUGAAGCAGCCUUUCUUCCAUCGCGUGUUUGGAACAAUGACAAAGACAUCGGCAACUUUGUAUUCUGUCGUCAACUCCGCUCUGAAGUGACCUGGCGGGCACCGUCAGGCAGAGAUCAACAUCUUGAUGUAUGUUC